CUUUUCUGUCUGCAAAUGUGAAAAUAAUAUCUAAAUGAUGCUUUUGCUCUACUUUUAGUGUGACUGUGUUUGUUUGCAGUUGCUGAAGAAGAUUUCAAGAGUCUUAUACAACAUUGUCGUUUUGUUCAUUCCAUGGGAGAUGAGGAUUAAAAAGAUUGAAAGUCACUUUGGGUCAGGAGUGGCUUCUUACUUCAUAUUCCUGCGAUGGCUGUUUGGGAUCAAUAUAGUUCUCACUAUUAUGACUGGAGCCUUUAUUGUCCUUCCUGAGCUACUGGCCGGCGCUCCAUUCGGCACAACGCGGAGCAAAACCAUUCCUAAAGAGCACUUUGCCUCGGCACAAGACCUGGACACCAUCUGGUCGCUCGGGGCAAGAUUUUCCUCUCUCUCUUUUUACUGCUUUACCAAUAUGUCGUGCAUAUUAUCUGUGUGA
rnacentral:lncRNA from 1 species